GAUGAACACUAGCAGCAGGCUUAAUACAUGCAAGUCGAGGGGCAGCAGGGUGGUAGCAAUACCACUGCUGGCGACCGGCAAACGGGUGCGGAACACGUACGCAACUUACCCUGAGCUGGGGCAUAGCCCGGGGAAACCCGGAUUAAUACCCCGUAACACUUGGGGGUGGCAUCACCUCUUGGUUAAAGCUCCGGUGGUUCAGGAUGGGCGUGCGGCUGAUUAGGUAGUUGGUUGGGGUAACGGCCCACCAAGCCAACGAUCAGUAACUGGUGUGAGAGCACGACCAGUCACACGGGCACUGAGACACGGGCCCGACUCCUACGGGAGGCAGCAGUAAGGAAUAUUGGGCAAUGGAGGCAACUCUGACCCAGCCAUGCCGCGUGGAGGAUGAAGGCCCUCUGGGUUGUAAACUUCUUUUACCUGGGACGAAACCUUCCUUUUCUAAGGGAGUUGACGGUACCAGGGGAAUCAGCACCGGCUAACUCCGUGCCAGCAGCCGCCGUAACAC
rnacentral:rRNA from 1 species